UCCGUAGGGUCCGAGCGUUGUCCGGAAUUACUGGGCGUAAAGAGCUCGUAGGUGGUUUGUCGCGUUGUUCGUGAAAACUCACAGCUUAACUGUGGGCGUGCGGGCGAUACGGGCAGACUUGAGUACUGCAGGGGAGACUGGAAUUCCUGGUGUAGCGGUGGAAUGCGCAGAUAUCAGGAGGAACACCGGUGGCGAAGGCGGGUCUCUGGGCAGUAACUGACGCUGAGGAGCGAAAGCGUGGGGAGCGAACAGG
rnacentral:rRNA from 1 species